rnacentral:rRNA from 1 species
UACAGAGGGCCCAAGCGUUGUUCGGAUUCACUGGGCGUAAAGGGCGCGUAGGUGGCCUUGUUAGUCAGACGUGAAACCCCCAAGCUUAACUUGGGAACUGCGUCUGAUACUGCAAGGCUUGAGUUCGGGAGAGGGAUGUGGAAUUCCAGGUGUAGCGGUGAAAUGCGUAGAUAUCUGGAGGAAUACCGGUGGCGAAGGCGGCAUCCUGGACCGGCAUUGACGCUGAGGAGCGAAAGCUAGGGGAGCAAACGGG